CCCAUGCCCUUGCCCCUGCCCCAGCCCCAGGCCCAAGCCAGUCCUACCCCAGCCCCAGGCCAGUCCUAGCCACAGCCCGGAUUCUCUCAACCCCAGCCCCAGUCCCAAAACCCACCCUAGAGACAUUCCAAUCUUCAUUGAUUGAGUGCUAAAAAUGCAGUGUCCAUAACUCAUCCUGGCAAACUGAGCUCUCCUGUCUAUCCCCUCCGUGCUCAUUGCCUGAGUCCCAAUUUUCACUUAAUGGACACAGUCCUUCCUACUGGUACACGGACUCAAAGUAUUACAACAAAGAACUCUUGUCCCACAUGUUAAUCAAGAAAUGCCCACUGAACAAGAGUUUCAUUUCAGAGAAUUACCAUCAAGGCACCAUCUCCUAAAUCUCCUUUCUUUAAGGAAGGAAAAACUAGUCUGUCAUUGCUGCAGUCCUCACAGUCCCAACUGGCUGAGCAGCGCUCAGUAGCCUGUUCUCACACACUGUCUUGAGCACUCUUUGCACUGAGUGAUUCUUAUUGUCCAUAAUUUACCCACUGGAUUAGACCCCAGCUAGUCCAGCCCCAUUUGCGUUCAGCAGAGGGGCAGACACAAGUCUGUUAACAGACAGUUAAGGUGCUCAGUCCCAGUUCUCAAGGCCUUGAAUAUUAAGGGGCUACUAUAUCCCACUGCAUGGCAUCAUGGGUGCUAUCACCCCUCGUUAUAUCUUUUAAAUUGAUGGACAUAAAUUCGUUUGUCCAUGGUAGUGUGUACCAGUCCCAUCAGCUACCCUUAUUUCAGAUUGUAGCCGAAAACUCUGCACUGGGACAGUUUAUGUGGAUAAUCCUGAUGAGGAAGUGAACCUUUUCUCAAAGUCCUUGUACAACUUUAGCUUUACGUUAAGAGGGUGCUUAUUACCUAAAAUAAAGCCUCUUAUACAAUUGUGCAAAACUCUAGUUGCUCAAGUCUGUACUAACCAAGAUCCCAUACCCUCACACCCCAAUGGGUGACAAUGGGGGUGAGGGGGCAACCGACAAGGCCCCUUCUUUGUUCUGGUCUUUUGGCUGUGCUUGGGAUCAAACUAAGUCUUGUGCGUGCUAGUAAAGCACUCUGCCAUGGAGCUACAGCUCCACCUGGUGGCUGUUUGAGAAUAAGCAUCUUUAUGACGCUCGGGGCUGGCACUUAGUUCUUCUGCUUCUCGGUCCCAAUUACUGCAACUACGGGCAUUGCCACCACUUCUGCCUGUCUUUAUGUGCACAUUUGCAUUUGUCCAUCUUCCUGAGCAUUGGAUAAAGAAACCAAACUCAGUCAUUUCUUUAUUUAUCAAGACCUUUGAACUCAGAUUCAAUCUGUUCUGUUCUUAAUUUCCAGGCUGGCCCAGAACUUAUUUAUAUAACCCAGGCUGGCCUUGAGCUUAGGAUCAAGCCUUUACUUCACAAGUGCUGGCAUAAUUGGUGUCUACCACCAUGGCCUGCAGUCUCUCAGGCUGUGAUGUGCAUACUUCAUUUUGCUGUAGUAGUUAGUAUGCACUGGGUAAAGACCUUAACCAUUCAUUUGUAUUGCGGCAGGAGGUUAACUAGUACGUAAUUAAGAUCCUUAAAAAGGUAUACGUGCACAGUGUUAAUUGUCUCGAACAUAUUAUGUCCACAGCCGUGCCUUUUAGAUCAGGACCCCUGUACGUACCAAAACAAAGAGGCUCACUAACACUAUAGUCUCUUUCUUGAAACUAUAGAAAUGAUUGUAAUAUUGCCAAUGGCCCUUCACUUAAUGGAACUAUGUGCUGUUCACUUAAUGCUUUCUCAACCUGCUAAUGUACAUAAUGGCAAUUUCAGAAGGAUCAGUUUUACUCUUACUUUGAAGUACAGCAGUGGUGUUGACCUAUAAGGUCCUAUUUUGUGGCUUGCUAAUAAUGUCUGAUUGUAUUUGUCCUUUUCUGUUUGCUACAGAAGGAAAUCAUUCCCCACCCUUAUGCCUUUCCCUUUCAUCAGGGAAUGCACAUUGCCAAAGAUCCUUAUGUCUGAACAGUCAAAGUAUAAAACUAUAAUGGCCACAAUCAUGCACCUUGAAUAUUAGUGGGCCAUAAAUGGCACAUGACUCAUUCCAUUGAAUAAGAUUCUACUCUCAGACCUUUUGCAGUACAGCAAGGGUCACUAAUCUCUUGACUUCUCCAUCUUCCUGGACACUGGAUAAGGAUAUCCUCUCCUUUCCACUGCCUUUGAUUCCCAGAAGUGUCCAUUACUUUAAGAUCUUAAUAUUGUAUAAAGGGUGUGGCUUUAAUUAACCACACUAUGUCCCUUGAACAUUAAUGUACUUAAUAGGGACAUGAUUCAUUCAUUUUAAUAAAAAUAUUUGGACAGUUAUCCACAACCUUAUUACUUUGAGGACCUUUGUAUCUCUUUUGCACUACUGCAAGGGAUACUGUUUUUCCCAAGGUCCCUGAUAGUGGAGCAUUAAUACAGUGGAAAUUAUCUUUUGUCUUUGUCAGUAGACAAAGUUAUACUCUUUCAUUUGCACUAUGGCAGGGUAUGCUGAUCAACCAAGGCUGCCUUCUUUGGGACUGUUAGUAUGCACUGUAUGUUUUAUGUAUGAAUAUGCAUUUCCUCCUGCUCUGUGCACUAGAAAAGGAUCCCACUCACUUCCUUAUCACCUUCAGCGGGAAGUGGAAAGUUCACAUGCACAGUGUCUAAGCACUUCUUGUAUCAGAAACCUUGUACCCUCUUCCUCCGCUUUAAAGCAGAAAGAGGCUUUUACACUGUGCCGUUCAUUUGGACUUCAAUGUGCAUUAAUGCAGUUGUCCAUCCUUACCUUUGGAGUAGGAUUUACAUCCUUAUACUCCUUUGACAUCAGAGGCAUGUUAACAUUUUUUUCAGCACUUCUCUUAUAUAUAUAUAUAUAUAUAUAUUUAUAUUAAUAUGUAUACUUAUACAUAUGGACUUGUGUGGCAGAAAAGGUUCCUAAGUUUCUACCUUUUGACUGGGGCUGCUGAGGAGUGGUUAAUUGUUUAGAACCUCAGCAUCUGGAUGAUUACAAUGCAACAAUGUCAGUGGUCGAGUACUGAUUACUAGUUGGACCUCUGUACUCUCUUUGCAUACCAUCAGGGAUACUGACCAACCAAGCCCCCGAAUUGUUAAUGUGCAUAUUUGUAAUUACAAAUGCCUAGAAUACUAUGUUCUCAUCCUCCCUUUGCAUUACCGCAGGGGCUGCUGGUCCAUCUAAAAUGUCUGGGACUGUUAAUGAGCACAGUGAUUAUGACCAAUGGCUUAUUUGGGGACUAUUAAUAGGCACAAUGGCAGCUCUUGGUGGUUUAUUUUCUCCUCUCAUUGGCAUAGUAAAGUAAAAUAUCGCAGUAUGUCAAUGCUUUUUCCCCCCCACAACGACCCAGAUUUCCAUCCCCUUUGCAUUUCCAGUACACAAAAUCCUAAAUGGCCACGACCUCAUACUUUAUACAGUUUUCCCUCUGCCCGGCCCCUUGUCCAUGGGAUACUCUUAUUAUGACUGGCCUUCUCUUGACUUCAAGUCAGCAAGCCCAGAAGCCAUCAGUUACCCGCUUCCUAUGGCUGCAAUGGUUCAUUUGCACUCUCCUUGGUCCUACCCAUCGAACAGAAACACUUCCACUGCAUUAUUCUGUCAGUUGCCCAAGGCACCUUGUGUGUCGUGAAUGAACACGGUAUUGAUUGAGACUACUUUGAUGUGUUUAUACACGUUAACUAUCAAAAGCAGGCCAAAACUUGGUGGAUGGACCUUCACUAUUUAGCUUGCAUUUCUUAAUUACUCCAAUUCCAAUUGCAUUCUAGGGCCAGGAAUCAUUCCAUUCCUGCCUACCUUGAUUAAUGCUUUACUGUGCAAAAAUAUUCCAGGCAAGUUGCUCAGGGAGCUGAAUUGCCACCUUUUAUUUGGGGCUUUCCUUGUACAGUAUCAAACUGAAAACUGUCUCCCAGAGAAGGAGGAGGAGCUAGCACUUGGUUUACAGUGUUCCUCCAGGAGCCAACUGCCUGCUUAAGAACCGCAAACUUGCUUCAUUUUUGUGUGUUGCUAUUGUUAGAGUGCCAACUGCCAGAAAAGUUCUUGAUGGUUGAUUCCUUAAGAAAGGCGUUUGGAUGGCAAGGUGGAAUGGACUGUGCGAUCAUUAGCUUUUCUGAAGUAAAAAUAUCCGUUUCUAUUAUAUAUCUGAUGACCAGCGGUGUCUCUCAUUUCCUGAGGGUGGCGAGUCUGUGGACAGAUCACUCUAACUGUUGCUGUUCCAGUACCAUCAAAGCAGUUGUGGACCGGAAUGCUUAAGACCAGCAUGUCUGUUUGGUCUGUACUACCAGUUUAAAAACAAAAAUCAACCUUUGUGUGACCUUUAGUGUCAUUAUCUUUUAGGAAAAUGACCAAACUCUCUAAUCUUCAAAUUUGGUCAGACAUUGAACACCAGCCCCUGCUUAUUUUAAAAGGGUAGCUGUGAAUGGAUGAAAUGAGAGACGAUGUUAAGUUGCCUUUGAAAAUUCUAGGUCAUCACAUUUGAUUAAUUCACUAUUAUCUGCCAUUAAAUUCUGGCAAUAAUUUGAAGUAGCUUAAAAAAAAAAAGAACCACCCUAAAGUGGGAACUUUAAAAUGAUGGAGCGUGUUUCCCCCACUUACAUGUUAAAACAUAUAGGCCAAGAUCUCAUGAUUCUUUUGAGAGUAUACUUCAAAGAGAGAUCUGCCUAGUAAGAAGAGGGUUUUGCGGCCGCCGAGUAUUUGAGCUUUUUGGUUUUUGAUUUUUUAACUAGUGUGUGUGAAUGUGGCUGUGUGUGUGUGCUCACAUGUGCACUCGAGUAUCUGUACAAGUAUUCACAUGGUGACCAGAGAGCAACUAGUUUUUCUAUCUUGUGGGUCCUGGCGAUCAAACGCCGAUCGUCAGGUUUGGCAGCACGUGCCUUUUCCAUCGGAACCAUCUUGCCAGCCCGCUGCUGAGCUUUUAAUGUGACAUUGCUGAUGAAAACAGGCAUCACAACAGCAGCAAUUCUUCAAAGUUACUGAAGAAAAAAAAAAGAUACUAUUUUUCUGAGAAGGAUAUCAAGAAAUCCACCCAGUUCACGAUCCAGCUUGAACUUCGGCUCUUCAGACAGCUACAGUAUAGACUAGCUGUUUCAGACUACAGGAUGAAUUGGAGUUGGUUUUGUACCCUGACUGAAGAAGGAUGGCCUGGUUUUAGAGGGAUGAAUUCCAGACAGCAUCCAAAGGGACAAUCCCAGCAUGAGACACUAGGAUUGCCAGCAGCUGAUACAGGCUUCAUUCAAAUUCAGAUCUUUCCUUUUGAGACUCCGGACAAGCCUAGCUAAUCUGAGCAAAUAACUUGCAGGCCACAUGGAGAAAAAGAUCUUCCCCCAGAAGUAUGGGCUUGUUGCUUUGCAGUGCUGGUGACCUAUUCCCUUUGACGAUCCCUAGGAGGAGAUGGGGCAUGAGGAUCCUCCAGGGGAAUAGCUCACCACCACUGGGCAACAGCCCUAACCCAGGGGGUUUUAGUGAGACACUUUGCUGAACCCAGCAAGGAAGAUAGAGUCAAAGACAGCCACCCUACAUCAAAAUAGGAGAAAAGCUGCCACAGUAGUGGCACUGACUUCACGAGCAAGUCAUUCUGUUUCAUCUAGUUCUCAAAGCCUCCCUGGGAGCUCUGUUGGAGAACUUUACCAGCUGUUUACAUACCUCAAGAUUCAUUGUGCUAGCGACGAGACAGAAUAUACGCUCCGUCUAGUAAAUCCUCAUCCUUCCUCAAAGCAGCACAGAGAGCUGGGUCUUCGGAGGGAUCACAAAAUGUGAACACAGGAAAGCAAGUCAGCUCUAUGACCCAAGGAUCAACAUGGCUGCCUCUUAACACAACAGAAUGAAUGUGUAUUGGGUUGUGUGUCCUCAUUGUUUUAUGCAUCUAUUUCUUCCUUGCUCUGUGUGUCCAAUUCUUCUUCAGUGUAUCUGUUUCUUCCUUGCUUUGUGUGUCUAAUUCUUCUUCAGUGUAUCUGUUU